AUCCAGCUGACCAGUCCCAAAUAGGACGAAACGCUUGUCAAACUGGAU
rfam:Schistosoma rodhaini strain Burundi genome assembly, scaffold: SROB_scaffold0000133